rnacentral:rRNA from 1 species
UACGUAGGAGGCGAGCGUUGUCCGGAGUACUGGCGUAAAGCGCACGCAGGCGGUCAGAUCAGUCUGGAGUGACAGUCGUCGGCUUAACCGACGAAGUGUUCUGGAAACUGUCUGACUUGAGGGCUCAGAGGGACACGGAAUCCGGGUGGAGUGGUGAAAUGCGUAGAUAUCCGGAGGAACACCAAUGGCGAAGGCAGUGUCCUGGGAAGUACCUGACGCUCAGG